AUGAACGCUGGCGGCGUGCCUAAUACAUGCAAGUCGCGCGAACAGACGAGGAGCUUGCUCCUCUGACGUCAGCGGCGGACGGGUGAGUAACACGUGGAUAACCUACCUAUAAGACUGGGAUAACUUCGGGAAACCGGAGCUAAUACCGGAUAAUAUAUUGAACCGCAUGGUUCAAUAGUGAAAGACGGUUUUGCUGUCACUUAUAGAUGGAUCCGCGCCGCAUUAGCUAGUUGGUAAGGUAACGGCUUACCAAGGCAACGAUGCGUAGCCGACCUGAGAGGGUGAUCGGCCACACUGGAACUGAGACACGGUCCAGACUCCUACGGGAGGCAGCAGUAGGGAAUCUUCCGCAAUGGGCGAAAGCCUGACGGAGCAACGCCGCGUGAGUGAUGAAGGUCUUCGGAUCGUAAAACUCUGUUAUUAGGGAAGAACAAAUGUGUAAGUAACUAUGCACGUCUUGACGGUACCUAAUCAGAAAGCCACGGCUAACUACGUG
rnacentral:rRNA from 1 species